UACGUAGGAGGCGAGCGUUGUCCGGAGUUACUGGGCGUAAAGGGUGCGCAGGCGGUUGGACAAGUCGCUGAUGAAAUCUCCUCGCUUACCGGGGAGGGGUUUGGGGAAACUGUCCGACUUGAGGCUCGGAGAGGGGCGUGGAAUUCCGGGUGGAGCGGUGAAAUGCGUAGAGAUCCGGAGGAACACCGACGGCGUAAGCAGCGCCCUAGACGAGUCCUGACGCUCAGGCACGAAAGCUGGGGGAGCCAACAGG
rnacentral:rRNA from 1 species